rnacentral:rRNA from 1 species
UACGUAGGGGGCAAGCGUUGUCCGGAAUUAUUGGGCGUAAAGCGCACGCAGGCGGUCUGCCAAGUUUGGAGUGACAGUUGGUGGCUCAACCACCGAAGUGCUUCGAAAACUGACAGACUUGAGGACUUCAGAGGGACACGGAAUUCCGGGUGGAGUGGUGAAAUGCGUAGAGAUCCGGAAGAACACCGGUGGCGAAGGCGGCCUGCUGGGCAGUUGCUGACACUGAGGCGCGACAGCGUGGGGAGCGAACAGG